AUUGAACGCUGGCGGCAUGCUUUACACAUGCAAGUCGAACGGUAACAGGGAGCUUGCUCCGCUGACGAGUGGCGAACGGGUGAGUAAUGCGUCGGAACGUGCCGAGUAGUGGGGGAUAACGCACCGAAAGGUGUGCUAAUACCGCAUACGAACUGAGGUUGAAAGUGGGGGACCUUCGGGCCUCACGCUAUUCGAGCGGCCGGCGUCUGAUUAGCUAGUUGGUGAGGUAAAGGCUCACCAAGGCGACGAUCAGUAGCGGGUCUGAGAGGAUGAUCCGCCACACUGGGACUGAGACACGGCCCAGACUCCUACGGGAGGCAGCAGUGGGGAAUUUUGGGCAAUGGGCGCAAGCCUGAUCCAGCCAUGCCGCGUGUCUGAAGAAGGCCUUCGGGUUGUAAAGGACUUUUGUCCGGGAGCAAAUGCUGGUGGCUAACAUCCACCGGAGCUGAGAGUACCGGAAGAAUAAGCACCGGCUAACUACGUGCCAGCAGCCGCAGUAAGAC
rnacentral:rRNA from 1 species